GACGAACGCUGGCGGCGUGCUUAACACAUGCAAGUCGAACGGACAGACCCUGCUCUUGUGGGGUGCUCGAGUGGCGAACGCGUGAGUAACACGCGAGUAACCCGCCCUUGUCUUUCGGAUAUCUUUAGGAAACUCGGGCUCUUAUCGCAUAGGAGCUCUUGCUGCACGGUGUGGGUUGGUGAAUGUCGGCGGUUCGGGCUGGACUCGCUGCUUCCCCGCUUAUUGGGCUGGUAGGUGCUGACCAAGCUUUUGACGGGUAGCCCGCCUGGGAGGGUGACCGGCCACAAUGGGACUGAGGUACGGACCAGACUCGUACGGGAGGCAGCAGUGGGGAGUAUUGCGGAGUAGGCGGGAGCCUGAUGCAGCAGCGCCGCGUGCGGGAUGACGUCCUUCGGGUGGUAAACCGAUUUCGCCUGUGACGAGGCGUGAGUGACGGUAAUGGGUAAAGAAGCACCGGCUAACUACGUG
rnacentral:rRNA from 1 species